rnacentral:rRNA from 1 species
AUUGAACGCUGGCGGCAUGCCUAACACAUGCAAGUCGAGCGGAUGAAGCGAGCUUGCUCCUGGAUUCAGCGGCGGACGGGUGAGUAAUGCCUAGGAAUCUGCCUCGUAGUGGGGGAUAACGUCCGGAAACGGGCGCUAAUACCGCAUACGUCCUGAGGGAGACAGUGGGGGAUCUUCGGACCUCACGCUAUCAGAUGAGCCUAGGUCGGAUUAGCUAGUUGGUGGGGUAAAGGCCUACCAAGGCGACGAUCCGUAACUGGUCUGAGAGGAUGAUCAGUCACACUGGAACUGAGACACGGACAAGACGCCUGCGAGAGGCAGCAGAGGGGAAUAGUGGACAAUGGGCGGAAGUCUGAUACAGCGAUGGCGCGUGUGUGAAGAAGGUCUUCGGAGUGGAAAGCACUUUAAGUUGGUAGAAAGGGCAGUAAGUUAAGAAGUUGCUGUAUUGACGUUACCAACAGAAUAAGCACCGGCUAACUACGUG